rnacentral:sRNA from 1 species
GCCACGAGCUGUUGUGCAUCCAGAGGUGGAAUUGGGGCCCGGCAUUCCCUCCUCGUCCCGGGCUGGCCCUUGCCCCCACCCUGCAACUCCUGGUUGAGAUGGGCUCAGCCAAGAGCGUCCCAGUCACACCAGCGCGGCCUCCGCCGCACAACAAGCAUCUGGCUCGAGUGGCGGACCCCCGUUCACCUAGUGCUGGCAUCCUGCGCACUCCCAUCCAGGUACUCGGGGCCAGAUGGGAAAGGCAGAGAAUGUCUGAAUUCUUGGGCCUCUUCCUAACCUGAUUUUGAGAGAGCCCUCAUGCCCCCACCCUUAUCCUGGCCUUAUUCUGCAAUCUCCAUCUGUGUGGGAUAGGCUGGAUAUCUGAGGGCCUUGGAAAUUCCUUCCUGGAAUAUGGGGAGGAGAGGAGAGAAGAGUCAGGGCCCAGACUUGUUCUAGCCUAUGGUCUUGACAGGUGGAGAGCUCUCCACAGCCAGGCCUACCAGCAGGGGAGCAACUGGAGGGUCUUAAACAUGCCCAGGACUCAGAUCCCCGCUCUCCUACUCUUGGUAUUGCGCGGACACCUAUGAAGACCAGCAGUGGAGACCCCCCAAGCCCACUGGUGAAACAGCUGAGUGAAGUAUUUGAAACUGAAGACUCUAAAUCAAAUCUUCCCCCAGAGCCUGUUCUGCCCCCGGAGGCACCUUUAUCUUCUGAAUUGGACUUGCCUCUGGGUACCCAGUUGUCUGUUGAGGAACAGAUGCCACCUUGGAACCAGACUGAGUUCCCCUCCAAACAGGUGUUUUCCAAGGAGGAAGCAAGACAGCCCACAGAAACCUCUGUGGCCAGCCAGAGCUCCGACAAGCCCUCAAGAGACCCUGAGACUCCCAGAUCUUCAGGUACAGAAUCUAAAGGCAAGAUGCAGGGAAGAUAAACUAGGAUAAUGUUUUGGGAUAAGGUCCACGGGUGAGUGUGGGAGGAAUAAACUGUAAGUCCUAGUUUUGGGUCCUUGCUUUAACUCCUUACCCACCCCAGGUUCUAUGCGCAAUAGAUGGAAACCAAACAGCAGCAAGGUACUAGGGAGAUCCCCCCUCACCAUCCUGCAGGAUGACAACUCCCCUGGCACCCUGACACUACGACAGGGUAAGCGGCCUUCACCCCUAAGUGAAAAUGUUAGUGAACUAAAGGAAGGAGCCGUUCUUGGAACUGGACGACUUCUGAAAACUGGAGGACAAGCAUGGGAGCAAGGCCAGGACCAUGACAAGGAAAAUCAGCACUUUCCCUUGGUGGAGAGCUAGGCCCUCCGUGGCCCCAGCAAUGCAGUCACCCAGGGCCUGGUGAUAUCUGUGUCCUCUCACCCCUUCUUUCCCAGGGAUACUGAGGAAAGGCUUGUUUUCUUAGACUCCUCCUCAACUACCAAACUGGGACUCACAGCUUUAUUGGGCUUUCUUUGUGUCUUGUGUGUUUCUUUUAUAUUAAAGGAAGUAAUUUUAAAUGUUACUUUAAAAAGGU